rnacentral:rRNA from 1 species
GAAGCAAUACCGCGAGGUGGAGCAAAACUUCAAAAACGAAUCCCAGUUCGGACUGCAGGCUGAAACUCGCCUGCACGAAGUUGGAAUUGCUAGUAAUCGCGGAUCAGCAUGCCGCGGUGAAUACGUUCCCGGGUCUUGUACACACCGCCCGUCACACCAUGGGAGCUGGUAACACCCGAAGUCAGUAGUCUAACCGCAAGGAGGACGCUGCCGAAGGUGGGAUUAGCGACUGGGGUGAAGUCGUAACAAGGUACC